rnacentral:rRNA from 1 species
AGUGAACGCUGGCGGUAGGCCUAACACAUGCAAGUCGAACGGCAGCACAGUAAGAGCUUGCUCUUAUGGGUGGCGAGUGGCGGACGGGUGAGGAAUACAUCGGAAUCUACCUUUUGGUGGGGGAUAACGUAGGGAAACUUACGCUAAUACCGCAUACGCCCUUCGGGGGAAAGCCGGGGACCUUCGGGCCUGGCGCUGAUAGAUGAGCCGAUGUCGGAUUAGCUUGUUGGUGAGGUAAUGGCUCACCAAGGCGACGAUCCGUAGCUGGUCUGAGAGGAUGAUCAGCCACACUGGAACUGAGACACGGUCCAGACUCCUACGGGAGGCAGCAGUGGGGAAUAUUGGACAAUGGGCGCAAGCCUGAUCCAGCCAUACCGCGUGGGUGAAGAAGGCCUUCGGGUUGUAAAGCCCUUUUGUUGGGAAAGAAAAGCAUUCGGUUAAUACCCGGGUGUUCUGACGGUACCCAAAGAGUAAGCACCGGCUAACUUCGUGCCAGCCGCCGCCGUAA